rnacentral:rRNA from 1 species
UACGUAGGGGGCAAGCGUUGUCCGGAUUUAUUGGGCGUAAAGAGCGUGUAGGCGGCUAGGUAGGUCCGUUGUGAAAACUCGAGCUCAACCUCGAGACGCCGGUGGAAACCAUCUAGCUAGAGUCCGGAAGAGGAGAGUGGAAUUCCUGGUGUAGCGGUGGAAAUGACGCAGAUAUCAGGAAGAACACCCGUGGCGAAGGCGGCUCUCUGGUACGUGACUGACGCUGAGACGCGAAAGCGUGGGGAGCGAAACAGG